rnacentral:sRNA from 1 species
GCCAGGUGUGGUGGCGCCUGCCUGUAAUCCCAGUGGCUUGGGAGGCUGAGGCAGGAGGAUUUUGAGUUCAAAGCCAGCCUCAGCAAUUUAGCAAGGCCCUAAGCAACAGUGAGACCCUGUCUCUA